GACGAACGCUGGCGGCGUGCUUAACACAUGCAAGUCGAACGGAAAGGGCCUGCUUUUUUGGGCUGCUCGAGUUGCGAACGGGUGAGUAACACGUGAGUAAUCUACCCUUGACUUUGGGAUAACUUCCAGAAACUGGGGCUAAUACCUGCUAGGUGCUCCCGCUGCAUGGCGUGGGUGGGAAAGUUUCGGCGGUCGGGGUUGGUCUGGCGGCUUAUAAGCUUGUUGGUGAGGAAGUGGCUUACGAAGGCUGGGACGGGUAGCCGGCUUGGGAGGGUGACCGGGCACAGUGGGACUGGGGAACGGCCAAGAGUCAUACGGGAGGCAGCAGUGGGGAAUAGUGCAAGAUGGGCGGAGGCAGGAUGCAGGAACGUCGCGUGCGGGAGGACGGCCAUCGGGUUGGAAACCGCUUUCGGCUAAGAGGAAGCGGGAGUGACGGUAAUGGGUAAGGAAGCAACGGCUAACUACGUG
rnacentral:rRNA from 1 species